rnacentral:lncRNA from 1 species
CACCACAGGCUGCUGACCUCAGCAAGCUUUCUCUUGGGUUUAGAGAGGUCUUCAAAGGAAGUGUCCAGAAUCUCUUCAUCUUGGCUUUCCAAAGAUUCUGCCUGCAGGUUCUCCCUGGGGUCUUCGAGUGCAUCCUGGAGCCAUGCCACAUUCAGACGGGGACUCUGGGGAGGAUGGCCUCAGUUCCUCCCCAAAGGCAGUAGUGUUCCUCUUGAACCCCAAGGCCAGGACGAUUUUAAGCCCAGGACAGGUGCGAGCCUCUCACUGAGCCGGGGAACCUGGCAGGCGGGGACGCCUCUGCUGACACUCAGCUGCACCAGGUGUGAGGUCACGAUGGCUGGCUUGGCAGACUUACACGCCAAGGCCAAGAGCAGCUCGUUCCUCUCUAGUGCUCUGGUGACCUCGUUGAUGCCGAUAGCAAGCUGCUUCCUGACGCCAACGGGGUCCACCCUGACGCCUGGGCAUCACCUUGGGCUUUUCUUUCUUCAGAUCCUCACCAGUGUCCACGCUAUGCUGCUCAUGUCUCCACUUUGUUUUUUCAAAGGGGGCUGCUUUUUCUUUCUUUUCCUAUCCUCAAUCUUCUGAAGCCCGAGAGACUGAAUUCUGUCCUCCAGGGUCUGCAGUAUGAAGUGCAUGUCCUCCCUAUCCAGGACGCCCCAGCAGAUGCUGUACGGGUUGUUCAGUGACGUCUUCACAGGUAGAGGUCUCGUCUUCCGCACGGAGCCCCUCCCUGGUGCCUGUGGGGCUGCAGCCAUACUGAAAAAUCCUUCACAGGAGCAAAAUGGCAAAGGAAAAUUGUGUUAACUAGACAUGCGCCUUAAGGAUAUCUUGGUUGUGCUCUUUCUGGUUUUGAAAGGCUAGAGCAAGCCUACUUACAUAGGACAUGUAUAUACUUACAUAUAUAUAUGUAUAUAUGUAAAUAAUUAUAUAUAUAUAUAUGUAUAUAUGUGACCAUACACCUAAUCUCUCUUUUAAGUCAUUUAUUUUCCCAUUUUUCCUAUGACUUAGUCUUCAUUCAUAUACAGGCAAUUUAUGAAUGUUUUGCCUUAUUGCAAUCCCAGUGAAAUUCUAUGUUUGCUUUAUUGAAAAUGUUCCAAUUUUACUACUUGUCGUAAUUAUUUAUCUUCUUCAGGACCUCUGUUAUUAGUCUGAUAGAUUUCUGACCAUUUCCUAGAUUGCUUUCCACUUAGGCUUCUAUUUAUCCAUUCAGCAAAUACUGAGCACCUCUACUCCGAGUCAUAGGCACUGGGGUUCAGCCUUAAACAAGUUCCCAUGACCACCUCUGUGAGUCCCCACAUCCCUCUGCCCUCAGCACAGAAUCUCUGAGGGCCCUGGAAGCCUCUGCCAUUAACCAGGUGUGAUUUUAAAGAACUGGGACCAUAAUCUAUGCACAUGACUGAAAAUCUGAAUGAUUCAUUCUGUGCCCUUUUGCAGUCCUCCUCCCUCCCUGGACCCUAAGUUCUUUGUCCUUCAUAAAACACGGAUACACAGAUUCCCUUCCUCUGGUAAGUCCAAGCAGGCUGUUCCUCUGGCUGACAGUGUGAUGAAAACAACGGAAUUUUGUAAUGCAAUUUAAAGAUACUAAUCUGUUAAGGCAAAACAGAGGGAUGAUUGCUAGCAAAAUGUUAUAGAUCACUGUUCUCAGGAGCAUCUCCUGAUAAUCCCAUCCGGAGGCAACUGCACGUUCCUCUCUUCUGUAUUCUUCCUCACUUCCUGGGCUCACCUGGGAACCAUAGGGACCCAUGUUGCAAAACUGAAAGAAGGUAAAUGAGCUAGAGAAGUCUGGAGUUUGGGACUGUCCCUGUUUUCAGGUAACCAGAUUUUCUCAUUCCAGAUUUCUCCUCAUGUGAGGUCAUUCAUCCCACAGAUGACCCCCACCCACAAGUGGCCCAGGCAAGAUUAAGGAUAAAUUCCUCCAAUAAACACCUUAAGAGCCUGGCUGCCAAUGCUGAGGAGGAAGUCAGAACAAGUAAGGCACUUUCUCCAAGAAAUACUUGAUUCUCACAAAAGUCCAUUAGUGGGGAAGCAACAGACUCAGGUUAAAUACCCUGCCAGUCACAGCUGGUUUCCCAAAUCCAAAUUCUAUGCUCUUUCAAUCCUGGCUGCAUCUCAAAAAUAAGCUGUGACUUUUAAAGUAUAUAGAUGGUUGGUCCUUACCCUAGGUCUACUGAAUCGAAAUCCCUGAGAAUACGGCAGGGCUCCUUUACUUGUCAAAAGGUUGCCCAGGUGACUCUGAUACAGAACUGGGAUUGGGAACCAUCCCUGAGACAGGGUCUCCUGACGUCUACUGGCCUCUGAAGUUCCUCCCACGCCACCUCACAGAAAACCAAAAUUCAGCUCCUGGAGUGAAAGCUACCUUGUUCCUGUCAGUACAUGAACCGUGAACUCCAAGAUGUUCAAGCUAGGUUUAGAAAAGGCAGAGGAACCAGAGAUCAAAUUGCCAACAUCCACUGGAUCAUCAAAAAGCAAGAGAGUUCCAGAAAAAUAUCUACUGCUUUAUUCUUCCUCACUUCCUGGGCUCACCUGGGAACCAUAGGGACCCAUGUUGCAAAACUGAAAGAAGGUAAAUGAGCUAGAGAAGUCUGGAGUUUGGGACUGUCCCUGUUUUCAGGUAACCAGAUUUUCUCAUUCCAGAUUUCUCCUCAUGUGAGGUCAUUCAUCCCACAGAUGACCCCCACCCACAAGUGGCCCAGGCAAGAUUAAGGAUAAAUUCCUCCAAUAAACACCUUAAGAGCCUGGCUGCCAAUGCUGAGGAGGAAGUCAGAACAAGUAAGGCACUUUCUCCAAGAAAUACUUGAUUCUCACAAAAGUCCAUUAGUGGGGAAGCAACAGACUCAGGUUAAAUACCCUGCCAGUCACAGCUGGUUUCCCAAAUCCAAAUUCUAUGCUCUUUCAAUCCUGGCUGCAUCUCAAAAAUAAGCUGUGACUUUUAAAGUAUAUAGAUGGUUGGUCCUUACCCUAGGUCUACUGAAUCGAAAUCCCUGAGAAUACGGCAGGGCUCCUUUACUUGUCAAAAGGUUGCCCAGGUGACUCUGAUACAGAACUGGGAUUGGGAACCAUCCCUGAGACAGGGUCUCCUGACGUCUACUGGCCUCUGAAGUUCCUCCCACGCCACCUCACAGAAAACCAAAAUUCAGCUCCCUGGAGUGAAAGCUACCUUGUUCCUGUCAGUACAUGAACCGUGAACUUCCAAGAUGUUCAAGCUAGGUUUAGAAAAGGCAGAGGAACCAGAGAUCAAAUUGCCAACAUCCACUGGAUCAUCAAAAAGCAAGAGAGUUCCAGAAAAAUAUCUACUGCUUUAUUGACUAUGCCAAAGCCUUUGACUGUGUGGAUCACAACAAACUCUGGAAAAUUCUUCAAGAGAUGGGAAUACCAGACAACCUGACCUGCCUCUUGAGAAAUCUGUAUGCAGGUCAGAAAGCAACAGUUAGGCUUUUUCAAACAGAAUGAGAAGUCUCUUUUGCCAGGGUUGUGAGAAGAUUCAAUCAAUGAACAUUUGAAGAGCAUCUAAAGUACAUCCUGGCAGACGACUUUAAAAAAAAAAGAAAGCAACAGUUAGAACUGGACAUGGAAUAACAGAUUGGUUCCAAAUAGGCAAAGAGUACGUCAAGGCUGUAUAUUGUCAUCCUGCUUAUUUAACUUAUAUGCAGAGUACAUCAUGAGAAAUGCUGGGCUGGAUGAAGCCCAAGCUGGAAUCAAGAUUGUUGGGAAAAAUAUCAAUAACCUCAGAUAUACAGAUGACACCACCCUUAUGGCAGAAAGCGAAGAACUAAAGAGCCUCUUGAUGAAAGUGAAAGAGGAGAGUGAAAAGUUGGCUUAAAACUCAACAUUCAGAAAACUAAGAUCAUGGCAUCCAGUCCGUCACUUCAUGGCAAAUAGAUGGGGAAACAGUGGAAACAGUGACAGACUUUAUUUUGGGGCUCCAAAAUUACUGCAGCCAUGAAAUUAAAGAUGCUUGCUCCUUGGAAGAAACGCUAUGACCAACCUAGACAGCAUAUUAAAAGCAGAGACAUUACUUGCCAACAAAGGUCUAGUCAAAGCUAUGGUUUUCCAGUAGUCACGUAUGGAUGUGAGAGCUGGACUAUAAAGAAAGCUGAGCACUGAAGAAUUGAUGUUUUGAACUGUGGUGUUACAGAAGACGUGAGAGUCCCUUGAACUGCAAGGAGAUCCAACCAGUCAAUCCUAAAGGAAAUCAGUCCUGAAUAUUCAUUGGAAGGACUGAUGCUGAAGCUGAAACCCAAUACUUUGGCCACCUGAUGCGAAGAA